CACACACGUUCACACUGAGGUCACAGAAACAGAGACGUUCACACACACGUUCACGCUGAGGUCACAGAAACAGAGACGUUCACACAAACAUUCACACUGAGGUCACAGAAACAGAGACAUUCACACACACACGUUCACGCUGAGGUCACAGAAACAGAGACAUUCACACACACGUGCACACUGAGGUCACAGAAACAGAGACAUUCACACACACGUGCACACUGAGGUCACAGAAACAGAGACGUUCACACACACGUGCACACUGAGGUCACAGAAACAGAGACAUUCACACACACACGUUCACGCUGAGGUCACAGAAACAGAGACAUUCACACACACGUUCACGCUGAGGUCACAGAAACAGAGACAUUCACACACACACGUUCACGCUGAGGUCACAGAAACAGAGACAUUCACACACACGUGCACACUGAGGUCACAGAAACAGAGACAUUCACACACACGUGCACACUGAGGUCACAGAAACAGAGACAUUCACACACACACGUUCACGCUGAGGUCACAGAAACAGAGACGUUCACACAAACAUUCACACUGAGGUCACAGAAACAGAGACAUUCACACACACGUUCACGCUGAGGUCACAGAAACAGAGACAUUCACACACACGUGCACACUGAGGUCACAGAAACAGAGACAUUCACACACACACGUUCACACUGAGGUCACUGAAACAGAGACAUUCACACACACACUUUCACACUGAGGUCACAGAAACAGAGACAUUCACACACACGUUCACACUGAGGUCACAGAAACAGAGACGUUCACACACACGUGCACACUGAGGUCACAGAAACAGAGACGUUCACACACACCGUGCACACUGAGGUCACAGAAACAGAGACAUUCACACACACGUUCACACUGAGGUCACAGAAACAGAGACGUUCACACACACGUGCACACUGAGGUCCCAGAAACAGAGACGUUCACACACACGUGCACACUGAGGUCACUGAAACAGAGACAUUCACACACCGUGCACACUGAGGUCACAGAAACAGAGACGUUCACACACACGUUCACACUGAGGUCACUGAAACAGAGACAUUCACACACACGUUCACACUGAGGUCACAGAAACAGAGACGUUCACACGCACGUGCACACUGAGGUCACAGAAACAGAGACGUUCACACACACGUGCACACUGAGGUCACAGAAACAGAGACGUUCACACUGCACCUUCCAAUUGUGCUGCAGUAAAACCUGCAGCAGGUUUUAAAAAGACUUGUUCUUAUCUGGACCAGAGAAGGCUCAUCAGAACUUUAUGAAGUGGUGGAGCUGAGACAGGAGAAAAGGACAGCAUGGGACAGGAGAACAGGAAAACAUGGGACAGGAGAACAGAAGAACAUGGAACAGGAGAACAGAAGAACAGGAGAACGUGGGACAGGAGAACAGGAGAACGUGGGACAGGAGAACAGAAAAACAUGGGACAGGAGAACAGAAGAACAGGAGAACAUGGGACAGGAGAACGUGGGACAGGAGAACAGGAGAACGUGGGACAGGAGACCAGUAGAACAUGAGACACGAGAACAGAAGACCAUGGGACAGGAGAAAAUGAGAACGUGGGACAGGAGAACAUGGGACAGGAGAAAAGGAGAACGUGGGACUGGAGACCAGUAGAACAUGAGACAGGAGAACAGAAGAACGUGGGACAGGAGAACAGAAGAAAAGGAGAACGUGAGACAGAAUUUCUUGUUGUAAGAUGUGUCCCUGUAUCAGCAGACUGAGGCAGCAGAAUUAAAAUCAGUGGGAGUCUCAACCACUGCUCCUGAAUCGUCACGUUUAUCACGUGUAGCCAAGGAAGUGGAUUUAAAAUAGUCCCAGACCAGAUCAAGGUCAGCCGUGUGUGAAACACCAAGGUCACUGUUAAACACACAAAACAUCAGGACGAUGGUUUGUUCUCAUAAAUCUAUAUAACCUGGUUUACUCUCAGAGAUCUUUCAGUCGCUCACAGACAACCUGUGUUUGUUAAAAUCAGAUCGAGUCGUGUCUAGUCCCGUGUCCAGAUUCACUCAGUCAUUAGAGUCACAUGUGUCCUUUAGUGAGGAUGAGGAUGAUGAUGAUGACCACUCCCAGUUGAGGUCUCCGAGUAAACCAGCUUAGAGUUUGUCCAGUAAUGAGUCAGCAAGUGAGGCUGAAGGUAGGCAGUAACAGCCGUUCUCUAACAUGAGAGCACUUUAAUUCAGAUUUAUCAUGAAAUGGAUCCUCCUCCUGUUUUUUAAUGUGUGGGCGGUUCUAAAGACAUCUUAGAUCCAUCAGUGUUGAUCAUGUGACUGCUGAUUUUCAGCAUCACUCAGACUCUUAUCUUAUUAACCAGCCUGUACACAGUGACGUCUCUCAUAGGAGAACGUUCUAUCUGUCAAACCACGAUCUUAUUUUAUUAACCAGACUGUACGCAGUGACGUCUCUCAGAGGAGAACGUUCUAUGAGUCAAACCACGAUCUUAUUCUAUUAACCAGACUGUACGCAGUGACGUCUCUCAGAGGAGAACGUUCUAUCUGUCAAACCACGUUCUUAUUUUAUUAACCAGACUGUACGCAGUGACGUCUCUCAGAGGAGAACGUUCUAUCAGUCAAACCACAAUCUUAUUUUAUAAACCAGCCUGUACGCAGUGACGUCUAUCAGAGGAGAACGUUCUAUCAGUCAAACCACAAUCUUAUUUUAUAAACCAGCCUGUACGCAGUGACGUCUAUCAGAGGAGAACAUUCUAUCAGAGUCGUCCCAUGUUCUUAUUUUAUUAACCAGCCUGUACGCAGUGACGUCUAUCAGAGGAGAACGUUCUAUCUGUCAAACCACGUUCUUAUUUUAUUAACCAGACUGUACGCAGUGACGUCUCUCAGAGGAGAACGUUCUAUCAGUCAAACCACAAUCUUAUUUUAUAAACCAGCCUGUACGCAGUGACGUCUAUCAGAGGAGAACAUUCUAUCAGUCAAACCACAAUCUUAUUUUAUAAACCAGCCUGUACGCAGUGACGUCUAUCAGAGGAGAACAUUCUAUCAGAGUCGUCCCAUGUUCUUAUGUUAUUAACCAGCCUGUACGCAGUG